rnacentral:rRNA from 1 species
UAGGGAAUCUUCCGCAAUGGGCGAAAGCCUGACGGAGCAACGCCGCGUGAGUGAUGAAGGUCUUCGGAUCGUAAAACUCUGUUAUUAGGGAAGAACAAAUGUGUAAGUAACUAUGCACGCCUUGACGGUACCUAAUCAGAAAGCCACGGCUAACUACGUGCCAGCAGCCGCGGUAAUACGUAGGUGGCAAGCGUUAUCCGGAAUCAUUGGGCGUAAAGCGCGCGUAGGCGGUUUUUUAAGUCUGAUGUGAAAGCCCACGGCUCAACCGUGGAGGGUCAUUGGAAACUGGAAAACUUGAGUGCAGAAGAGGAAAGUGGAAUUCCAUGUGUAGCGGUGAAAUGCGCAGAGAUAUGGAGGAAAACCAGUGGCGAAGGCGACUUUCUGGUCUGUAACUGACGCAGAUGUGCGAGAGCGUGGGGAUCAAGCAGG